ACAGAAGCUAGAAAGGCUGUCAUGGGGUGUCUCUCUCUCUCUCUCUCUCUCUCUCUCUCUCUCUCUCUCUCUCUCAUCAUCUUGCCAGGAGUAGCCACUGUGCAGUAAACAUUAAUGAUCGGAUAUAGUCUGCACUGACAGUACGGAUCCUUCUCUUCAGCUCUGGAAAGCUCCACCGCCACUUGAAUCCCCUCCUCAAGGGCCACUGCUUCAUCAAGGACUUCAGGAUAAUUGUGCCACUUAUGUCAAGCUUGGUUCAUUGCGAUGCAACCCCCAGCACUCCCUGGAAACUUAGGGCUCCCUAUGCGCAGGCAGCCUCCAGUUCUAGAAGGUAUGCCAAACAGCAGGGCGGCAGGAGAAGAAACCGGGUCCAAGAAGGCACUGCUGGGGGCGUGGAGGGCUGUUGGGGGAUGGAUGAAGGAAGACACAUGAAGCUCACAGAUGCUGCAGGCACACAGAAUUGCCACUGUGUGGCAGGUAAGGGCUCAGAGAUGCCAUGUACUCUGUGCAGCUUUUCAAAUGAGGGCACUUCUUAAAAGUUAUUCUCUGAGCCAGUUUCUCGGCAAGCAAACACAGAGAACUGGCUGGUGAAAUUACAAGGGCAUGUAGUGUUUGUGUUUUAUUCUAGUGCCGACAAACCUCUACUUGCACAGCUGAAUGCCCUGGGCAUACCAGGCUGUCGUCACAGGUAGCACUCUUUGUUCAGGGCACAUGAAUGAGUAAAGUGACUGAAGUCUCUAGAAUCCGCUUCCACCCAAAAGAACAAACAGGAUGAUAGCAAUGCAUCUCACUGACCUGUGAUGAUAAACAGCCAGUAUUUGACAGAGCCAAGCACAGCUACUGGUUUAGUAAGCAAAGCAAAGAGUCAAUCAUGAGUUUAAAGGCUUAUAAAUAAGGGUGGGGCGGGAGCUCAGUUAGGAAAGUCCUUGCUUUAUAAUCAGGUGCUAUGAGUUCAAUUCCAAGAACACAUGCUAAGAAUCUGGCAUGGUAGGCCACCCUAUCCCAGUGCUGGGAGGUAGAGGGGUGUCUGCCUGGGGCUCACCUGCCAACCAGUCAGAGCACUGAUCUCAGGGAGUGACCUUGUUGCAAAAACUAGGGUGGAUAGCACAUGAUAAAUAGCAUCCUGUAUUGUCAACUAGCCUCCACAUGGGUACACACAUGCAUACCCACAUAUACACACAUGUAUACAUAUACCGGGGGAAAAAGUCCCAUUAAUUAAACCCAUAGUGCCAAACCUAUAGGUUAGGUAAUGAUUCUGACAUAAACUCAUGGGUAAGAAGCUGACCCUAUGUGCUCAAAACUGAGAAGAGCCCAGAGAAAGCUAACUGUAUCCAUGUCUUAUUUAAAAACCGCCAUUUGAUGCCGACUCCACAGGAAGGUGUUUUGUAAAAUAUUAUCAUGGUAGGUGGCAUCGCUUAUCAGCUGUGGGAAAGGUGUGGUGGCUUAAAGCAUUUCCCUUUAUUGAAUUAUCAAAUAAUCAUUUAAAUGGUUUUCACACAUUCUGUUUUGCCAGGGAUACACCUACAAGCAUGCUUAUGAGAGAGAAGAGAAAAGACUUCUGGGAAUUUCUGCCUCUCCAGAUACAUUGCUUUUUCUCUUCCUUCUUUGAGGUGGUAGAGAUGGGAGCAGGCUUCCAGACCGGUUCUACUCAGUAACACAUUGCUUUGGUGGGAAAAAAAAAAAAAAAAAAAAAAAAAAAAACAAACCAAAAAACCAAAAAACCGUGUUCCCACAGGUGAGAGCAGAAGCCACACUUUCUUUCUAUAGGGAUAUUUUGGUUUAUCAUGGCUUUUUUACUUAAAUGAACCAUGAAUCACUUCUGCUGAUCUUGACAAGGUGAGAUGGAGACAUGGGCUUUACAAUUUGAAAAAUAACUAAACCUCGCUACAGCGAUGUUCAGACAUGUUCCUGCCUGCCAACCUGCUCCGUGCCACCCCUCCAUCCCCCCCCCCCCCCCCGUCACAUGCCACAGGAGGGGAAGGGACUCUCUUCUUUACCCGAUAAAUAGAAUGAAUCAAGCUUUCCCUGACACAGAUGAAGGAGGGCCAGCAGCUAAGCUACAGCAACAACCAAAAGUGACAUUUUUGUAAUCAUUCAAGGGAGAGAUAAUUUAUUACAAAUUUCCCAAGAGUGAAAGUAGAGAUAGUGAAAUCAUGCUCUAGUGAUUAUUGCAGAAAGCAAAAUUUGUAGACACUUCCAACUUGUCUUUGUUCAUUAGAGGUAAAAAAAAUAGUAAGUGGAAUUUAAGCAUCACAUACUGCACAAAACUUCUUAAAAUAUAGGCUUAAGAAAGAGAACAGUUCCAGAAAGGCAAGCAGUUAAUGAUUGGAGAUGAAUGAAUUUAAAAACAACAAAAAGCCAUUUGCUUUUCGUCCUGACACGUAAAUAAACUAUGGUGGACUCCACUAUAUUACGAGCAAAGGAGAUAUCAACCAACACGGAAUGCCAGGUCCUAGAAUCCUACUCAUUCACAAUACGAGGAACAGGCAAUUUGCCAAAGGGCAAAGGGCUCACAGUGGAGCGUUAUCUGCAGUAUGAGGAGUGUAUCCACUUCCUCAGAGAGCCUCCUUCUGCAUGCAGAAAGCAUCCUGCACCUAACAAAGACUUGUGGCUCAAAGGGAAACUGGUACUUGGCCUAUUUCGAAAUUACCUCUGAUGGGGAAUCCUGAGAGUUGUCCAGUCGACUCCCAGGGCACAAGUGGAAAAGAGCAAGUAUGUAGAACUCUGAUGACUCUUAAGAGAGCAGGACAUUGAACAAACUAAAAUAAUGUAAAAGGAAGUAGAUAGUGUCAAGACAAAAGAUGUAUCACUAAUUAUUAGAAGCUUUCAAUAUUCAAAUUAAUUUAUAGUAAUAGACUUCAUGCCAAGCACAAUCGAUUAGCAGUGCCUAGUAUUAUUUGAGGGAAAAUUUCAUAGAUCCCAGUCACUGGCUUGCUGAGGAAGAAUACGGUGGUUGGUUAGUAAUAUCUGUUAUGAGAACUGGCAGAGGGGACACAUAGUCACAGCUAUUUUAGCCAUCUGUUAGCUCUCACUCUAGCGAACCAGUCAAUUGAUGUCCCAUUCCAUUUCCAUGGUAAUAAAUGAAAGUUGAAAUUAACUGAUAAGUCAUCUCUAAGGCAAGAAGCUUAUUCAUUCAAGUUC
rnacentral:lncRNA from 1 species